rnacentral:rRNA from 1 species
UACGGAGGGUCCAAGCGUUGUCCGGAAUCACUGGGCGUAAAGGGUGCGUAGGCGGACUCGUACGUCAGGGGUGAAAGCCCGCGGCUCAACCGCGGAACUGCCUCUGAUACUGCGAGCCUUGAGUCCUGGAGGGGCUGGCGGAAUUCGUGGUGUAGCGGUGAAAUGCGUAGAUAUCACGAGGAACACCGGAGGUGUAGACGGCCAGCUGGACAGGUACUGACGCUGAGGCACGAAAGCGUGGGGAGCGAACAGG